rnacentral:rRNA from 1 species
CAAUAGCGUAUAUUAAAGUUGUUGCAGUUAAAAAGCUCGUAGUUGGAUUUCUGGUUGAAGCGACCGGUCGGGCGUUGAUUCGUCUGCACUGGAGUCGGUUUUGGCCAUCCUCUAGGAAAGUGCGUCUGGUAUUAAGUUAUCGGGCGUAUGAUCCUGGUCUUUUACUGUGAAAAAAUUAGAGUGUUUAAAGCAGGCCUUCGCCUUGAAUACAUUAGCAUGGAAUAAUAAGAUAGGACUUUGGUCUAUUUUGUUGGUUUGCAGACCGAAGUAAUGAUUAAUAGGGAUAGUUGGGGGUAUUUAUAUUCCGAUGUCAGAGGUGAAAUUCUUAGAUUUUCGGAAGAUAAACUUGUGCGAAAGCAUUUACCAAGGAUGUUUUCAUUAA